rnacentral:rRNA from 1 species
AACGAACGCUGGCGGCGUGGAUAAGACAUGCAAGUCGAACGGGAUUUCUUUCGGUUAGCAAUACUGAGAGGGAUUUAGUGGCGAACGGGUGCGUAAACACGUGGGGAAUCUGCCGAGAAGUGGGGGAGUAGCUCGUCGAAAGGCGAAUUAAUACCGCAUAUGAUCAGGGAAGACAUCUUUCCAACAUCAAAGCCGGGGCAACCUGGCGCUUCUUGAUGACCCCGCGGCCUAUCAGCUAGUUGGUGAGGUAACGGCCCACCAAGGCUAUGACGGGUAGCUGGUCUGAGAGGACGACCAGUCACACUGGAACUGAGACACGGUCCAGACACCUACGGGUGGCAGCAGUCGAGAAUUUUUUCUCAAUGGGGGCAAACCCUGAAGGAGCGACGCCGCGUGGAGGAUGAAGGCUUUCGGGCCGUAAAACUCCUGUCA